UACGUAGGGUGCGAGCGUUAAUCGGAAUUACUGGGCGUAAAGCGUGCGCAGGCGGUUCGCCAAGUCAGGUGUGAAAUCCCCGGGCUUAACCUGGGAAUUGCGCUUGAAACUAGCGGGCUUGAGUGUGGCAGAGGGGGGUGGAAUUCCACGUGUAGCAGUGAAAUGCGUAGAUAUCGAGAGGAACACCAGUGGCGAAGGCGAGUCCCUGGACAACACCUGACACUGAGGCACGAAAGCUAGGGGAGCAAGCGGG
rnacentral:rRNA from 1 species